rnacentral:rRNA from 1 species
GCCCAGAGAAAUUUGGAUUAAUACCUCAUAAUAUUAUUAUUUGGCAUCAUUUAAUAAUUAAAACUCCGGUGGUUAUAGAUGAGCAUGCGUUCUAUUAGCUUGUUGGUGAGGUAAGAGCUCACCAAGGCAACGAUAGAUAGGGGGCCUGAAAGGGUGAUCCCCCACACUGGUACUGAGACACGGACCAGACUCCUACGGGAGGCAGCAGUGAGGAAUAUUGCACAAUGGAGGAAACUCUGAUGCAGCCAUGCCGCGUGCAGGAUGACGGCCCUAUGGGUUGUAAACUGCUUUUUUACAAGAAGAAACCUUGGUACGUGUACCAACUUGACGGUAUUGUAAGAAUAAGCACCGGCUAACUCCGUGCCAGCAGCCGCGGUAAUACGGAGGGUGCAAGCGUUAUCCGGAUUUAUUAGGUUUAAAGGGUUCGCAGGCGGAAUUUUAAGUCAGUGGUGAAAGCCUACAGCUCAACUGUAGAACUGCCAUUGAUACUGAUAUUCUUGAGUGUAGAUGAAGUGGGCGGAAUAUGUCAUGUAGCGGUGAAAUGCAUAGAUAUGACAUGGAACACCAAUUGCGAAGGCAGCUCACUAAACUAUUACUGACGCUCAUGAACGAAAGCGUGGGGAGCGAACAGGAUUAGAUACCCUGGUAGUCCACGCCGUAAACUAUGAUCACUAGAUGUUGGCGAUAUAUUGUCAGUGUUUUAGAGAAAUCGUUAAGUGAUCCACCUGGGGAGUACGUUCGCAAGAAUGAAACUCAAAGGAAUUGACGGGGGCCCGCACAA